rnacentral:rRNA from 1 species
CAAUAGCGUAUAUUUAAGUUGUUGCAGUUAAAAAGCUCGUAGUUGGAUUUCGGGUGGGACGCAGCGGUCUCGCAUUGCGUUUGUACUGCUGCAGCCCUCCUUCUUGCCGGGGGCGGCCUCUCGGACUUCACUGUCUGGGGGUCAGAAUCGGCGAUGUUACUUUGAGUAAAUUAGAGUGUUCAAAGCAAGCUUACGCUCUGAAUAUAAUAACAUGGGAUAACACGACAGGACUCUGGCCUAUCGUGUUGGUCUAUAGGACCAGAGUAAUGAUUAAGAGGGACAGUCGGGGGCAUUCGUAUUCCGUUGUCAGAGGUGAAAUUCUUGGAUUUACGGAAGACGAACAUCUGCGAAAGCAUUUGCCAAGGAUGUUUUCAUUGA